GAUCGGUGACAGUGGUGCAUGGUUGUCGUCAGCUCGUGUCGUGAGAUGUUGGGUUAAGUCCCGCAACGAGCGCAACCCCUAUUGUUAGUUGCCAUCAUUCAGUUGGGCACUCUAGCGAGACUGCCGGUAAUAAACCGGAGGAAGGUGGGGAUGACGUCAAAUCAUCAUGCCCCUUAUGACCUGGGCUACACACGUGCUACAAUGGUUGGUACAACGAGUUGCGAGUCGGUGACGGCGAGCUAAUCUCUUAAAGCCAAUCUCAGUUCGGAUUGUAGGCUGCAACUCGCCUACAUGAAGUCGGAAUCGCUAGUAAUCGCGGAUCAGCACGCCGCGGUGAAUACGUUCCCGGGCCUU
rnacentral:rRNA from 1 species